UACGGGGGGGGCAAGCGUUGUUCGGAAUUACUGGGCGUAAAGGGCUCGUAGGUGGCCAACUAAGUCACACGUGAAAUCCCUCGGCUUAACCGGGGAACUGCGUGUGAUACUGGAUGGCUUGAGUUUGGGAGAGGGAUGCGGAAUUCCAGGUGUAGCGGUGAAAUGCGUAGAUAUCAAGUGGAACACCAGUGGCGAAGGCGAGUCCCUGGACGACUCCUGACACUGAGGCACGAAAGCUAGGGGAGCAAACGGG
rnacentral:rRNA from 1 species